GUUCCGUAGUUCUGUUCAGUUAUUAGGCGCAAUGAACAAUUUCCCACGUGUUAACAUACUGGAGUUGGAAAUGUCUUUUCGUCAUUUUUGGCUAAAGGAGAUGGAUGUAAAUCUAAUAGAUCCACAAGUAUCACAUAAAAUCGAAGGAGCACUAACCAAAAACUUGGCAACUGUGCAGAAGAAUGUAAAAUAUGAAGCUAAAUAGAGCAAAAGACAAAUGACCAGAAAAAGCUGUAUACAACUGCAAUCUGUGACCUAAGAUUGGGGCCAUGGAGUACUUAGCAGUAAUAAAGUACAUUUUUCGUGUAUUACUGGAAAAAUGAUACAGGAUGCAUCCUGCAUUCAACUGUUCUGGAAACUUCGAGUGCAAUUUUAUGAAGAUUCUCUCAAUGGAACUGUUGUGGAAACCGUCUUUACUGAAAAUCUAAAGAUAAUGUGAAUUCCAUUGGAUCUGGAAAGUGGAGAAACAUUUUACAAAAAGAUAAUGCCCAGAACACAUGUGAUUAUCACUAUCGACUUUUGGGACUAAUAUGGACAUCAAAAUUAUAGUUAUUGGCAGCAAUUAUGAAAAGAAUUUUGUUCUAAAAAUGGACUGCCUGCCAUCAAAGGAAGUGUUUUUUAAAUGGAUGCAAUGCAACAGUCUAUCAAUAACAAACACGAACAAGGGCCCGAAGAGGCAUGGCAACUAGAGCCAGACAAGCCUCGCGGCUUAGACGAGUCUUACAA